GACGAACGCUGGCGGCGUGCCUAAUACAUGCAAGUCGAACGCACAGACUAUACCGUUGCUUGCUUCACCAUAGACUGUGAGUUGCGAACGGGAGAGUAACGCGUAGGUAACCUGCCUGGGAGCGGGGGAUAACUAUGGGAAACGAACGCUAAAACCGCAUAAUAUUGAUUAUUGCAUGGUAAUUAACUGAAUGGUGCAAUUUCACCACUACCAGAUGGCCCUGCGUUGUAUUAGCUAGUAGGUGAGGUAACGGCUCACCCAGGCGACGAUACAUAGCCGACCUGAGAGGGUGAUCGGCCACACUGGAACUGAGACACGGCCCAGACUCCUACGGGAGGCAGCAGUAGGGAAUCUUCGGCAAUGGACGAAAGUCUGACCGAGCAACGCCGCGUGAGUGAAGAAGGUUUUCGGAUCGUAAAGCUCUGUUGUUAGGGAAGAACGAGUGUGAGAGUGGAUAGGUACCUCUUGAACGUAAUCUUACAAGAAGGCAACGCCAAAUUACUG
rnacentral:rRNA from 1 species